rnacentral:rRNA from 1 species
CGUGUAGGCGGAUAGGAAAGUCGGUUGUGAAAUCCCUGGGCUCAACCUAGGAACUGCAUCCGAAACUGCCUGUCUUGAGUAAUGGAGAGGGUGGCGGAAUUCCCGGUGUAGAGGUGAGAUUCGUAGAUAUCGGGAGGAACAUCAGUGGCGAAGGCGGCCACCUGGACAUUUACUGACGCUGAGACGCGAAAGCGUGGGGAGCAAACA